rnacentral:tRNA from 1 species
GUCAGGGUCGCAUAGUGGCUGUGCGGCGGCCUGCAGAGCCGCUUUAAGAGGGUUCGAUUCCUCUGCUUGUUGAAAGCAAGGCGAGCAUCCCUCCCCUGGCUCCA